CCGAGGCCCCUCGCAAGUCUCGCCCCAUUCCGAGUCCGGCGGACGAACUUCGCCCGCGCCCCCCACCAAGGCUAUAGCCCACCCGUUUUUUGGCCAUUUUUCCGCUGGGGGGUUUUGGCACCACGACCUUCGGGCGCUUAUUUCUGGACGCGGCUGUGCCCGCGACUUCCCGCGGGCACCCCGAGGCCCCUCGCAAAGUCUCGCCCCAUUUCGAGUCCGGCGGACGAACUUCGCCCGCGCCCCCCACCAAGGCUAUAGCCCACCCGUUUUUUGGCCAUUUUUCCGCUGGGGGGUUUUGGCACCACGACCUUCGGGCACUUAUUUUUGGGUGCGGCUUUGCCCACGGCUUAUUUUUGGCACCCCGAGGCCCCUCGCAAAGUCUCGCCCCAUUCCGAGUCCGGCGGACGAACUUCGCCUGCGCCCCCCACCAAGGCUAUAGCCCACCCGUUUUUUGGCCAUUUUUCCGCUGGGUGUUUUUGGCACCACGACCUUCGGGCGCGGCUUUGCCCGCGGCUUAUUUUUGGCACCCCGAGGCCCCUUGCAAAGUCUCGCCCCAUUCCGAGUCCGGCGGACGAACUUCGCCCGCGCCCCCCACCAAGGCUAUAGCCCACCCGUUUUUUGGCCAUUUUUCCGCUGGGGGGUUUUGGCACCACGACCUUCGGGCACUUAUUUUUGGGCGCGGCUUUGCCCGCGGCUUAUUUUUGGUGCCCCGAGGCCCUGCGCAAAGUCUCGCCCCAUUCCGAGUCCGGCGGACGAACUUCGCCCGCGCCCCCCACCAAGGCUAUAGCCCACCCGUUUUUUGGCCAUUUUUCCGCUGGGUGUUUUUGGCACCACGACCUUCGGGCGCGGCUUUGCCCGCGGGUUAUUUUUGGCACCCCGAGGCCCCUCGCAAAGUCUCGCCCCAUUCCGAGUCCGGCGGACGAACUUCGCCCGCGCCCCCCACCAAGGCUAUAUUCCACCCGUUUUUUUGCCAUUUUUCCGCUGGGGGGUUUUGGCACCACGAACUUCGGGCGCUUAUUUUUCCACGCGGCUGUGUCCGCGACUUCCCGCGGGCACCCCGAGGCCCCUCGCAAAGUCUCGCCCCAUUCCGAGUCCGGCGGACGAACUUCGCCCGCGCCCCCCACCAAGGCUAUAGCCCACCCGUUUUUUGGCCAUUUUUCCACUGGGGGGUUUUGGCACCACGACCUUCGGGCGCUUAUUUUUGGGCGCGGCUUUGCCCGCGGCUUAUUUUUGGCACCCGAGGCCCCGCGCAAAGUCUCGCCCCAUUCCAAGUCCGGCGGACGAACUUCGCCCGCGCCCCCCACCAAGGCUAUAGCCCACCCGUUUUUUGGCCAUUUUUCCACUGGGGGUUUUGGCACCACGACCUUCGGGCGCUUAUUUUUGGGUGCGGCUUUGCCCGCGGCUUAUUUUUGGUGCCCCUAGGCCCCUCGCAAAGUAUCGCCCCAUUUCGAGUCCGGCGGACGAACUUCGCCCGCGCCCCCCACCAAGGCUAUAGCCCACCCGUUUUUUGGCCAUUUUUCCGCUGGGGGGUUUUGGCACCACGACCUUCGGGCGCUUAUUUUUGGGCGCGGCUUUGCCCGCGGUUUAUUUUUGGCACCCGAGGGCCCGCGCAAAGUCUCGCCCCAUUCCAAGUCCGGCGGACGAACUUCGCCCGCGCCCCCCACCAAGGCUAUAGCCCACCCGUUUUUUGGCCAUUUUUCCACUGGGGGUUUUGGCACCACGACCUUCGGGCGCUUAUUUUUUGGUGCGGCUUUGCCCGCGGCUUAUUUUUGGUGCCCCGAGGCCCCUCGCAAAGUAUCGCCCCAUUUCGAGUCCGGCAGACGAACUUCGCCCGCGCCCCCCACCAAGGCUAUAGCCCACCCGUUUUUUGGCCAUUUUUCCGCUGGGGGGUUUUGGCACCACGACCUUCGGGCGCUUAUUUUUGGGCGCGGCUUUGCCCGCGUCUUAUUUUUGGCACCCCGAGGCCCCUCGCAAACUCUCGCCCCAUUCCGAGUCUGGCGGACGAACUUCGCCCGCGCCCCCCACCAAGGCUAUAGCCCACCCGUUUUUUGGCCAUUUUUCCGCUGGGGGGUUUUGGCACCACGACCUUCGGGCGCUUAUUUUUGGACGCGGCUAUGCCCGCGACUUCCCGCGGGCACCCCGAGGCCCCUCGCAAAGUCUCGCCCCAUUCCGAGUCCGACGGACGAACUUCGCCCGCGCCCCCCACCAAGGCUAUAGCCCACCCGUUUUUUGGCCAUUUUUCCGCUGGGGGGUUUUGGCACCACGACCUUCGGGCACUUAUUUUUGGACGCGGCUGUGCCCGCGAAUUCCCGCGGGUACCCCGAGGCCCCUCACAAAGUCACGCCCCAUUCCGAGUCCGGCAGACGAACUUCGCCCGCGCCCCCCACCAAGGCUAUAGCCCACCCGUUUUUUGGCCAUUUUUCCGCUGGGGGGUUUUGGCACCACGACCUUCGGGCGCUUAUUUUUGGGCGCGGCUUUGCCCGCGGCUUAUUUUUGGUGCCCCGAGGCCCUGCGCAAAGUCUCGCCCCAUUCCGAGUCCGGCGGACGAACAUCGCCCGCGGCCCCCACCAAGGCUAUAGCCCACCCGUUUUUUGCCCAUUUUUCCGCUGGGUGUUUUUGGCACCACGACCUUCGGGCGCAGCUUUGCCCGCGGGUUAUUUUUGGCACCCCGAGGCCCCUCGCAAAGUCUCGCCCCAUUCCGAGUCCGGCGGACGAACUUCGGCCGCGCCCCCCACCAUGGCUAUAGCCCACCCGUUUUUUGGCCAUUUUUCCGCUGGGGGGUUUUGGCACCACGACCUUCGGGCGCUUAUUUCUGGACGCGGCUGUGCCAGCGACUUCCCGCGGGCACCCCGAGGCCCCUCGCAAAGCCUCGCCCCAUUCCAAGUCCGGCGGAAGAACUUCGCCCGCGCCCCCCACCAAGGCUAUAGCCCACCCGUUUUUUGGCCAUUUUUCCGCUGGGGGGUUUUGGCACCACGACCUUCGGGCGCUUAUUUUUGGACGCGGCUGUGCCCGCGACUUCCCGCGGGCACCCCGAGGCCCCUCGCAAAGUCUCGCCCCAUUCCGAGUCCGGCGGACGAACUUCGCCCGCGCCCCCCACCAAGUCUAUAGCCCACCCGUUUUUUGGCCAUUUUUCCGCUGGGGGGUUUUGGCACCACGACCUUCGGGCGCUUAUUUCUGGACGCGGCUGUGCCCGCGACUUCCCGUGGGCACCCCGAGGCCCCUCGCAAAGUCUCGCCCCAUUCCAAGUCCGGCGGAAGAACUUCGCCCGCGCCCCCCACCAAGGCUAUAGCCCACCCGUUUUUUGGCCAUUUUUCCGCUGGGGGGUUUUGGCACCACGACCUUCGGGCGCUUAUUUUUGGGCGCGGCUUUCCCUGCGGCUUAUAUUUGGCACCCCGAGGCCCCUCGCAAAGUCUCGCCCCAUUCCGAGUCCGGCGGACGAACUUCGCCCGCGCCCCCCACCAAGGCGAUAGCCCACCCGUUUUUUGGCCAUUUUUCCGCUGGGGGGUUUUGGCACCACGACCUUCGGGCGCUUAUUUUUGGACGCGGCUGUGCCCGCCACUUCCCGCGGGCACCCCGAGGCCCCUCGCAAAGUCUCGCCCCAUUCCCAGUCCGGCGGACGAACUUCGUCCUCGCCCCCCACCAAGGCUAUAGCCCACCCGUUUUUUGGCCAUUUUUCCGCUGGGGGUUUUGGCACCACGACCUUUGGGCGCUUAUUUUUGGACGCGGCUGUGCCCGCGACUUCCCGCGGGCACCCCGAGGCCCCUCGCAAAGUCUCGGCCCAUUCCGAGUCCGGCGGACGAGCUUCGCCCGCGCCCCCCACCAAGGCUAUAGCCCACCCGUUUUUUGGCCAUUUUUCCGCUGGGGGGUUUUGGCACCACGACCUUCGGGUGCUUAUUUUUGGGCGCGGCUUUGCCCGCGGCUUAUUGUUGGCGCCCCGAGGCCCUGCGCAAAGUCUCGUCCCAUUCCGAGUCCGGCGGACGAAGUUCGCCCGCGCCCCCCACCAAGGCUAUAGCCCACCCGUUUUUUGGCCAUUUUUCCGCUGGGGGGUUUUGGCACCACGACCUUCGGGUGCUUAUUUUUGGACGCGGCUGUGCCCGCGACUUCCCGCGGGCACCCCGAGGCCCCUCGCAAAGUCUCGCCCCAUUCCGAGUCCGGCGGACGAACUUCGCCAGCGCCCCCCACCAAGGCUAUAGCCCACCCAUUUUUUGGCCAUUUUUCCGCUGGGGGGUUUUGGCACCACGACCUUCGAGCGCUUAUUUUUGGGCGCGGCUUUGCCCGCGGCUUAUUUUUGGCACCCCGAGGCCCCGCGCAUAGUCUCACCCCAUUCCGAGUCCGGCGGACGAACUUCGCCUGCACCCCCCACCAAGGCUAUAGCCCACCCGUUUUUUGGCCUUUUUCCGCUGGGGGGUUUUGGCACCACGACCUUUCGGCGCUUAUUUUUGGGACGCGGCUUGCCCGCAGCUUAUUUUUGGCGCCCCGAGGCCCCUCGCAAAGUCUCGCCCCANNNNNNNNNNNNNNNNNNNNNNNNNNNNNNNNNNNNNNNNNNNNNNNNNNNNNNNNNNNNNNNNNNNNNNNNNNNNNNNNNNNNNNNNNNNNNNNNNNNNNNNNNNNNNNNNNNNNNNNNNNNNNNNNNNNNNNNNNNNNNNNNNNNNNNNNNNNNNNNNNNNNNNNNNNNNNNNNNNNNNNNNNNNNNNNNNNNNNNNNNNNNNNNNNNNNNNNNNNNNNNNNNNNNNNNNNNNNNNNNNNNNNNNNNNNNNNNNNNNNNNNNNNNNNNNNNNNNNNNNNNNNNNNNNNNNNNNNNUUUUGGGCACGGCUUUGCCCGCGGCUUAUUUUUGGCACCCUGAGGCCCCUCGCAAAGUCUCGCCCCAUUCCGAGUCCGGCGGACGAACUUCGCCCGCGCCCCCCACCAAGGCUAUAGCCCACCCGUUUUUUGGCCAUUUUUCCGCUGGGGGGUUUUGGCACCACGACCUUCGGGUGCUUAUUUUUGGACGCGGCUGUGCCCGCGACUUCCCGCGGGCACCCCGAGGCCCCUCGCAAAGUCUCGCCCCAUUCCGAGUCCGGCGGACGAACUUCGCCAGCGCCCCCCACCAAGGCUAUAGCCCACCCAUUUUUUGGCCAUUUUUCCGCUGGUGGGUUUUGGCACCACGACCUUCGAGCGCUUAUUUUUGGGCGCGGCUUUGCCCGUGGCUUAUUUUUGGCACCCCGAGGCCCCGCGCAAAGUCUCACCCCAUUCCGAGUCCGGCGGACGAACUUCGCCUGCACCCCCCACCAAGGCUAUAGCCCACCCGUUUUUUGGCCAUUUUUCCGCUGGGGGGUUUUGGCACCACGACCUUCGGGCGCUUAUUUUUGGGCGCGGCUUUGCCCCGCAGCUUAUUUUUGGCACCCCGAGGCCCCUCGCAAAGUCUCGCCCCAUUUCGAGUCCGGCGGACGAACUUCGCCCGCGCCCCCCACCAAGGCUAUAGCCCACCCGUUUUUUGGCCAUUUUUCCGCUGGGGGGUUUUGGCACCACGACCUUCGGGCGCUUAUUCUUGGACGCGGCUGUGCCCGCGACUUCCCGCGGGCACCCCGAGGCCCCUCGCAAAGUCUCGCCCCAUUCCGAGUCCGGCGGAGGAACUUCGCCCGCGCCCCCCACCAAGGCUAUAGCCCACCCGUUUUUUGGCCAUUUUUCCGCUGGGGGGUUUUGGCACCACGACCUUCGGGCGCUUAUUUUUGGGCACGGCUUUGCCCGCGGCUUAUUUUUGGCACCCUGAGGCCCCUCGCAAAGUCUCGUCCCAUUCCGAGUCCGGCGGACGAACUUCGCCCGCGCCCCCCACCAAGGCUAUAGCCCACCCGUUUUUUGGCCAUUUUUCCGCUGGGGGGUUUUGGCACCACGACCUUCGGGCGCUUAUUUUUGGACACGGCUGUGCCCGCGACUUCCCGCGGGCACCCCGAGACCCCUCGCAAAGUCUCGCCCUAUUCGGAGUCCGGCGGACGAACUUCGCCCGCGCCCCCCACCAAGGCUAUAGCCCACCCGUUUUUUGGCCAUUUUUCCGCUGGGGGGUUUUGGCACCACGACCUUCGGGUGCUUAUUUUUGGGCGCGGCUUUGCCCGCGGCUUAUUGUUGGUGCCCCGAGGCCCUGCGCAAAGUCUCGUCCCAUUCAGAGUCCGGCGGACGAAG
rnacentral:lncRNA from 1 species